rnacentral:rRNA from 1 species
AUGUUCACUGGCCCAAUUCCAAGGAGUCUAAAGACAUGUGUGAGUUUGGUUAAAAUUUCCCUUGGGAAUAACCAACUAACAGGAGAUAUAUCUCAGCAUUUUGGUGCGUAUCCACAACUCAAAUGGAUGAGCUUGUCAUCUAAUAGACUCUCUGGGAAGAUCUCACCCAACCUAGGUGCAUGUACCCAACUUACGGCACUAAAUCUAGCACAAAAUAUGAUCACGGGUUCCAUACCUCCAACACUUUCUAAAUUGUCCAACUUAUCAGAACUAAAACUCGAUUCUAAUCAUCUCAGUGGUGAGAUUCCACCAGAAGUCUGUAGUUUAACAAAGCUAUCUAGGCUGAACUUGUCAUCAAACAAAUUAUCAGGAUCCAUACCUACACAGAUAGAAAAGCUCAGCAAUCUAGAAUUGCUUGAUAUAUCUUGGAACAGACUGAGUGGAUUAAUACCUGAGGAAUUAGGGGCCUGCAUGAAACUACAUUCCUUGAAGAUCAACAACAACAACUUCAAUGGGAGUUUGCCUGGCGUGGUCGGAAAUUUAGCAAGCCUGCAGAUUAUGUUAGAUGUGAGCAACAAUAAACUCAGUGGUGUGUUGCCGCAGCAACUUGGGAAGUUGGGGAUGCUAGAAUUUCUGAAUUUGUCACAUAAUAAGUUCAAUGGCGGCAUUCCAUCCUCCUUUGCAAGCAUGGGGAGCCUUUCAAUACUCGAUGUGUCCUACAAUGACUUGAAAGGACCAGUCCCAACAACACGGCCAUUUCAAAAUGCUUCAGCUAGUUGGUUUAUUCCCAAUAAAGGUUUAUGUGGUAACAUCUCUGGCCUGCCACCUUGUUAUUCAAUUCCAGUAGCUAGUCACCAUGAACAAAAGAUACUUGGUUUGCUUUUGUCAGUUGUUCUUGUGGUGGGUUUCAGCAUUGUUGCUGCAAUUGUUGUCAUAAUAAUGAUCAGUCGUAACAAUAGAAAACCACAAGGUGUCACUACUGAAGCAAGGGACCUAUUCUCCGUUUGGAAUUUUGAUGGAAGAUUAGCAUUUGAUGAUAUUGUAAGGGUAACCGAAGAUUUCAAUGAUAACUACAUCAUUGGAACUGGUGGAUACGGCAAGGUCUACAAGACACAACUCCAAGAUGGGCAGCUAGUUGCUGUGAAGAAGCUUCAUCAGACCGAAGAGCAGUUGGACGAUGAAAGAAGAUUUCGCAGUGAAAUGGAAAUUUUAUCACAGAUCCGACAACGAAGCAUUGUCAAAAUGUAUGGAUUCUGCUCCCAUCCAGCGUAUAAAUUUCUCGUCUAUGACUACAUUCAGCAGGGAAGCCUCCACAGGACAUUGGAAAAUGUGGAGCUAGCCAAGGAAUUAGAUUGGCAGAAGAGGAUUGCUCUUGCAACUGAUGUGUCUCAAGCAAUAUCUUAUUUGCACCACGAAUGCAGUCCACCUAUAAUCCAUCGAGAUAUAACGAGCAACAACAUCUUACUUGAUACGACCUUGAAGGCUUUCAUCUCAGAUUUCGGCACGGCAAGAAUUCUUAAGCCCAAUUCAUCGAACUGGAGUGCACUAGCAGGGACGUAUGGCUACAUAGCUCCUGAACUAUCAUACACAUCUGUUGUGACAGAGAAAUGUGACGUCUAUAGCUUUGGCGUGGUUGUGCUAGAGCUAAUGAUGGGGAAGCAUCCAAGGGAUCUAUUAGACGGUAGUUUGCCAAGGGAGGAACAAGCUAUACUAGUGAAAAAUAUUCUGGACCGACGGCCAAUAACACCAACAACAACAGAAGAGAAUAGCUUAGCUCUGCUCAUCAAGCUGGCCUUCUCUUGCUUGGAAUCUUCUCCACAAGCAAGGCCAAUCAUGCGCGAGGCAUACCAAACACUCAUUCAGUAG